rnacentral:tRNA from 1 species
GCCUGGGUGGCUCAGUCGGUUAAGCGUCUGACUUCAGCUCAGGUCAUGAACUCCGGGUUCGUGAGUUCAAGCCCUGCGUCAGGCU